rnacentral:rRNA from 1 species
GCUGCGAUACCGCGAGGUGGAGCGAAUCUCAAAAAGCCGGUCUCAGUUCGGAUUGGGGUCUGCAACUCGACCCCAUGAAGUCGGAGUCGCUAGUAAUCGCAGAUCAGCAUUGCUGCGGUGAAUACGUUCCCGGGCCUUGUACACACCGCCCGUCACGUCACGAAAGUCGGUAACACCCGAAGCCGGUGGCCCAACCCCUUGAGGGAGGGAGCUGUCGAAGGUGGGACUGGCGAUUGGGACGAAGUCGUAACAAGGUAGCCGUACCGGAAGGUGUGGAUGGAUCAC